AUUGAACGCUGGCGGCAGGCUUUACACAUGCAAGUCGAACGGUAACAGGCCGCAUGCUCCUGACUUGUGCGGAGGACGGGUGUGAUAUACCUGAACAUCUCCCUGCUAGGGGGGUAUCUCGUCGGGAGAGUAGCUAUAAUCCCACAUACUCUCUGAGGGAGAGAGGGGGGGCUCUUGGCCCCGCGCGCUAUCAGCUGACGAUGUCAGAUUAGGUAGUUGGUGGGGUAAAGGCCCACCAAGCCAACGAUCUGUAGCUGGUCUGAGAGGAUAAGCAGCCACACUGGAACUGAGACACGGCCCAGACUCCUACGGGAGGCAGCAGUGGGGAAUUUUGGACAAUGGGCGCAAGCCUGAUCCAGCCAUGCCGCGUGCAGGAAGAAGGCCUUCGGAUUGUAAACUGCUUUAGGAUGGGAGGAAAGGGAGUAAGUUAAUACCCGGGUGUAUUGACGUUACCAUAAGAAUAAGCACCGGCUAACUACGUG
rnacentral:rRNA from 1 species